rnacentral:ncRNA from 1 species
GUAUCGCCAUGGAACGGGAAAAGUAGACUGGUGGGAGUCUGUACAGAGAGUCCGGUAUUUGGUGCAAGCCGGGCCAGCACCAUCUGUUGAAGAUCACCCGGGAGGUGCCAGCUGAAACCUUGGGGAGUAAGUAUGGCCGUUAACACCACGUUAUAGGUGUAUCGAGUGUUCAGACAUGUUGUCUGUUCAUGAGGGUGGUACCACGGGUUAUUGGCUCGUCCCUUUC